UACAAUCAAACUCACUAAUGACGCAUAACUUAAUUAAACAUGGCUGCUACACGGGUCAUCGAAAGACACGUCGGUCAUAAAAAUUACCGUUGGCACAAACGCGCACGUGUUUUGUCCAAAAAUAAGUGUCCCAGGAACUGAGGUCGCUACGGGAGGGGAGUAAUUAAUCGUUCCCGGCAGCCGGCCGAGGAAUAAGUAUCAGAUUGAUGGCCCAUACUGCCGGAGACGACACCGGUCAGAUCAAAGAUUCGGGACCGAGACGGCCGUGAGUCCAACACGGCCAGUUUGGUCAUACGAAACUGGGCCACGACACAUCUAGUUCUAUUCUUGUAUCGAUAAACUAACACGACAUAUUUAUUCUACAAUGUAUUCAUGAAACCGUGUUCAUAAUAAUGAAAGGUUUUACUUAAAUAUAUUGGGAAACGUUGGCUACACGCGUAAACGAAAACAUUUCGUAUAAAUCCAGAACUCAUAAACGAAAUAAUUACACUCGGAGAAGUCAGAGAUGCUUCAAUUGUUUGAAAUCAGACAUGUUUAUGUGCCUUUGUAUUACAUAGAAGACAUAUCGUGGAAAUGUAGAACAUACAAAAGUUAAUGGCAUUGAAAUCGUACAUACUGACGUACAGAGUCAUAUACUUACAUAUAAUAAUACUCUUUCUAUCCCGCUCAGGCGGCUCGCGUCUAAAAUCGUAUUUCCGUAGAAUCCUUACAAGCGACGUUAAGCACUUACUGUCGGCUUUGCAGUUCGACGACCUGUGCUCCAGAAGACGUCCUGAAAACAACAAAAAAAUCUUGUGAAGGAAUUCAGACAAAGCUUUAUAGGUAUCGCCUACACAAAUGUUCGUAAUAUUUUUCAUGAGGAUCCGUGACUAAUUAUACCUCUGAAACUUUGAUGACUGACUCAUUUUAGCUUCGAAGCGUUGCACUGCGUCAUAUUUGGUCUACAUUGUUGUGAAUAAAUUCCACUGUUUGCCUUUUGUAUUGUAUUUGACAAUCGAUUACGACUAAAAUCUAUCUGGGUCACAUAUAAGCAACAAAAGACCAUCGCGCCACAAUCAGGCCAACUGACAAUGGACAUAAAGGGAAAGAGAAAAAAUUUAAUGAAUCAAGAUAAGCUUUGUGGUGGACAGUGGUUCGACCUCGGCCGUCAAAUGGCAUCGCAUCGAUCGAACAAAUGCGGUGGCACAUCACGCGCAUUGUACGGCACGCGACCACGCUGUACUCCUGGGCUUCAGAGCCGGCCACUGGUUUCAUAAACUACACGUAUUGUUCGAAGGUUUGGUUAGUCACCACGCUAGCUCAAUGUCGAUUGAACUUCAGUUACUGCGGUGAUUAAUUAGUUAUUUCUGUUAUGAUUAUCUACUAGAUCUAGAUUAUGUCCUACGUGCCAUACAAUUACAUUAGACAUUACUUUUUUACCGAUAGCUAGCCUUGGCCAGUUCUCUUCAACGCUAAUGAGCUAGCUGUCCAUUAAAUCGAGUUUCAUAAUAACUGUAGGGUGACAGAACUUUAACACAACUAUCAGAAUUGAAAGUAGCAAGGUCAUAAUAUCUACUCCCAUAGCAAACGAACCGCAACACCAUCCGGAGUCUGCGGAUGUGAUCCACUGUAAUCACCGGUGAAAUUUCGCCACACAAUAGCAAACUUAUUUACAGGCCGGCAGAGGUUACGCUCUUCUGAAUAUUAACCAUUAAUCAGAGAUUAUGAAUCAACUACAAUUACAUUUGAUUGUCCAUUUCCUAAAUAUGACAUGUUAUCGUUUAGAUUUUGAAAUCGCUCGCUCUCUGAUGAGGCGCGUGCAGCUCUAGGUACUUCGACACCCGGGAAGUGUCGUCAACUUGGCUGUCGCCAUUUAUUUAGGUAGAUGCCUUUGCGAACGUUUUGGUAUCGAACGUCGUCUGGUGCCAAAGUUCGAAAGCCAUUUAUAGCGAGUGUUUGUCGUCUUCUUGUCAAGAGGUAUGUCCAUGGACGCCGGUGCCCGGGCGGGCGGCGAGCGACCAAAAUAGACGCCGCCUCGCGCGACUUAACAAUGCAAUAAAAAGAAAUUAACAGUGACGUUCCCUGCGCUAAGUUGACUCUCGUGUCAUUUGGAUGUGGUCCAAUCUCUUCGGAAUAUAUUUCAGUUUGACUUCUCUCUAGCCACUUCCGCUAAGUGAGACCGAAAAUAACAUCUUUACGAAUGUUGAUGAUGAAAGAGUAAUGAUGUAGCAUUAAAGGUUUUGGCUUGGCUGCUGCAGCCGCAGCGGGAGUACGCGCCGGGUACCAAACAGUGCUGCCAUCGCCAUAUGGCACUAGCGGCGCCGCAUGCCGCUCUGAAUACAUCUCACGAGACAAAAAUCAGACGUAGAAUGUUUACUCUUAC